UACGGAGGGUGCAAGCGUUAUCCGGAUUCACUGGGUUUAAAGGGUGCGUAGGUGGAUUGGUAAGUCAGUGGUGAAAUCUCUGGGCUUAACUCAGAAACUGCCAUUGAUACUAUCAGUCUUGAAUACCGUGGAGGUCAGCGGAAUAUGUCAUGUAGCGGUGAAAUGCUUAGAUAUGACAUAGAACACCAAUUGCGAAGGCAGCUGGCUACACGAAUAUUGACACUCAGGCACGAAAGCGUGGGGAUCAAACAGG
rnacentral:rRNA from 1 species